rnacentral:rRNA from 1 species
AUACGGAGGGUGCAAGCGUUGUUCGGAAUUACUGGGCGUAAAGGGCGCGCAGGCGGUUUGGUAGGUCAGAUGUGAAAGUCCAGGGCUUAACCCUGGAAGUGCAUAUGGAACUGUCAGACUUGAGUAUCAGAGGGGAAAGUGGAAUUCCCGGUGUAGAGGUGAAAUUCGUAGAUAUCGGGAGGAAUACCGGUGGCGAAGGCGACUUUCUGGCUGAAUACUGACGCUGAGGCGCGAAAGCGUGGGGAGCAAACAGGAUUAGAAACCCUAGUAGUCCC